rnacentral:misc_RNA from 1 species
GAUGAAGAACGCAGCGAAAUGCGAUAAGUAGUGUGAAUUGCAGAAUUCAGUGAAUCAUCGAAUCUUUGAACGCACAUUGCGCCCCUUGGUAUUCCAUGGGGCAUGCCUGUUCGAGCGUCAUUUGUACCUUCAAGCUUUGCUUGGUGUUGGGUGUUUUUCUCGCCUUUGCGUGUAGACUCGCCUUAAAAUAAUUGGCAGCCGGCGUAUUGAUUUCGGAGCGCAGUACAUCUCGCGCUUUGCACUCAUAACGACAGCGUCCAAAAGUACAUUUUACACUCUUGACCUCGGAUCAGGUAGGGAUACCCGCUGAACUUAAGCAUAUCAAUAAGCGGAGGA